GAUGAAGAACGAAGCGAAAUGCGAUAAGUAGUGUGAAUUGCAGAAUUCAGUGAAUCAUCGAAUCUUUGAACGCACAUUGCGCCCCUUGGUAUUCCAUGGGGCAUGCCUGUUCGAGCGUCAUUUGUACCUUCAAGCUUUGCUUGGUGUUGGGUGUUUGUCCUGAGGGACUCGCCUUAAAGUAAUUGGCAGCCAGUGUUUUGGUUUUGAAGCGCAGCACAAGUCGCGAUUCAAAGCUAUACGCCAGCUUCCACAAGCCUUUUUCACUUUUGACCUCGGAUCAGGGAGGGAUACCCGCUGAACUUAAGCAUAUCAAUAAGCGGAGGA
rnacentral:misc_RNA from 1 species